rnacentral:rRNA from 1 species
CAGCACCUCAAGUGGUCAGGAUGAUUAUUGGGCCUAAAGCAUCCAUAGCCGGCUCUGUAAGUUUUCGGUUAAAUCUGUAUGCUCAACAUACAGGCUGCCGGGAAUACUGCAGAGCUAGGGAGUGGGAGAGGUAGACGGUACUCGGUAGGAAGGGGUAAAAUCCUUUGAUCUAUUGAUGACCACCUGUGGCGAAGGCGGUCUACCAGAACACGUCCGACGGUGAGGGAUGAAAGCUGGGGGAGCAAACCGGAUUAGAUACCCGAGUAGUCC